rnacentral:rRNA from 1 species
GAUUUGGGCAGUGAGAGGUGUUCUUGAAACUUAAAGGUUUUGGCGGUUUUCUUGUUCUUUUCAGAGGAACUUGUUCUUUAAUCGAUGUGCCUCGUGUUAUUUUACUUAAUUUAUGGUGGUUUGUAUAUCGCUGUUGAUGAUGUUUCUGAUGUGCAACAUUAUUUGGUUUGUACCUGUUAAAUCAAGUCAAGGUGCAGCUUAGUUAAGGUUGAAAUGAGUUACUAUGGGUUAUUGUGGAGAGUGCAGUGAGAUUGUAUCUUGAGAUUGGAUUUGAAAGUAAUUUGGAAGUAAGUGAGUUUUAAUGAAAGGAGUUUAAGGAAAUGU